GACGAACGCUGGCGGCGUGCUUAACACAUGCAAGUCGAGCGGUAAGGCUCCUUCGGGAGUACACGAGCGGCGAACGGGUGAGUAACACGUGAGUAAUCUGCCCUUCACUUCGGGAUAACCACCGGAAACGGUGGCUAAUACCGAAUACGACCAGUCUUCGCAUGUGGUGCUGGUGGAAAGUCUUUUCGGUGAGGGAUGUGCUCGCGGCCUAUCAGCUUGUUGGUGGGGUAAUGGCAUACCAAGGCUUCGACGGGUAGCCGGCCUGAGAGGGUGACCGGCCACACUGGGACUGAGACACGGCCCAGACUCCUACGGGAGGCAGCAGUGGGGAAUAUUGGACAAUGGGCGAAAGCCUGAUCCAGCAACGCCGCGUGAGGGAUGACGGCCUUCGGGUUGUAAACCUCUUUCAGUACCGACGAAGCGCCCUGUCGGGUGGUGACGGUAGGUACAGAAGAAGGACCGGCCAACUACGUG
rnacentral:rRNA from 1 species